rnacentral:pre_miRNA from 1 species
UUACUACUCCCUCUGUCCCAAAAUUCUUGUCUUAGAUUUGUCUAGAUACGGAUGUAUCAAGUCACAUUUUAGUAUUAUAUACAUCUGUAUCUAGACAAAUCUAAGACAAGAAAUUUGGGACAGAGGGAGUACUAC